AUCAUUUAAAGAAAGCGUAAUAGCUCACUGGUCGAGUCGGCCUGCGCGGAAGAUGUAACGGGGCUAAACCAUGCACCGAAGCUGCGGCAGCGACGCUUAUGCGUUGUUGGGUAGGGGAGCGUUCUGUAAGCCUGUGAAGGUGUACUGUGAGGUAUGCUGGAGGUAUCAGAAGUGCGAAUGCUGACAUAAGUAACGAUAAAGCGGGUGAAAAGCCCGCUCGCCGGAAGAC
rnacentral:rRNA from 1 species